CAGUCGCCGCGGGAAUACGUAGGGGGCAAGCGCUAUCCGGAAUAACUGGGCGUAAAGGGUGCGCAGGUGGUUUAACAAGUUAGUGGUGAAAGGCAUAGGCUCAACCAAUGUAAGCCAUUAAAACUGUUUAACUUGAGUGCAGGAGAGGAAAGUGGAAUUCCUAGUGUAGCGGUGAAGUGCGUAGAUAUUAGGAGGAAUGCCAGUGGCGAAGGCGACUUUCUGGACUGCAACUGACACUGAGGCACGAAAGCGUGGGGAGCAAACAGGAUUAGAUACCCCUGUAGUCCCUGUCUCUUAUACA
rnacentral:rRNA from 1 species